CGGAAAAGUGCGGCAGCUACCAUGCAAGUCGAGCGGCAGCGGGUCCUUCGGGAUGCCGGCGAGCGGCGGACGGGUGAGUAAUGCCUAGGAAUCUGCCUGGUAGUGGGGGAUAACUCGGGGAAACUCGAGCUAAUACCGCAUACGUCCUACGGGAGAAAGCGGGGGAUCUUCGGACCUCGCGCUACCAGAUGAGCCUAGGUCGGAUUAGCUAGUUGGUGAGGUAAAGGCUCACCAAGGCGACGAUCCGUAGCUGGUCUGAGAGGAUGAUCAGCCACACUGGAACUGAGACACGGUCCAGACUCCUACGGGAGGCAGCAGUGGGGAAUAUUGGACAAUGGGCGAAAGCCUGAUCCAGCCAUGCCGCGUGUGUGAAGAAGGUCUUCGGAUUGUAAAGCACUUUAAGUUGGGAGGAAGGGCAGUAAGCUAAUACCUUGCUGUUUUGACGUUACCGACAGAAUAAGCACCGGCUAACUUCGUGCCAGCAGCCGCGGUAAUACGAAGGGUGCAAGCGUUAAUCGGAAUUACUGGGCGUAAAGCGCGCGUAGGUGGUUUGAUAAGUUGGAUGUGAAAGCCCCGGGCUCAACCUGGGAAUUGCAUCCAAAACUGUCUGACUAGAGUAUGGCAGAGGGUGGUGGAAUUUCCUGUGUAGCGGUGAAAUGCGUAGAUAUAGGAAGGAACACCAGUGGCGAAGGCGACCACCUGGGCUAAUACUGACACUGAGAUGCGAAAGCGUGGGGAGCAAACAGGAUUAGAUACCCUGGUAGCCCACGCCGUAAACGAUGUCGACUAGCCGUUGGGAUCCUUGAGAUCUUAGUGGCGCAGCUAACGCGUUAAGUCGACCGCCUGGGGAGUACGGCCGCAAGGUUAAACUCAAAUGAAUUGACGGGGCCCGCACAAGCGGUGGAGCAUGUGGUUUAAUCCGAAGCACGCGAAGAACCUUACCAGGCCUUG
rnacentral:rRNA from 1 species